UUACACAUGCAAGUCGAACGGUAACAGGUCUUUGGAUGCUGACGAGUGGCGAACGGGUGAGUAAUACAUCGGAACGUGCCCGAUCGUGGGGGAUAACGAAGCGAAAGCUUUGCUAAUACCGCAUACGAUCUACGGAUGAAAGCAGGGGACCGCAAGGCCUUGCGCGAACGGAGCGGCCGAUGGCAGAUUAGGUAGUUGGUGGGAUAAAAGCUUACCAAGCCGACGAUCUGUAGCUGGUCUGAGAGGACGACCAGCCACACUGGGACUGAGACACGGCCCAGACUCCUACGGGAGGCAGCAGUGGGGAAUUUUCGACAAUGGGCGAAAGCCUGAUCCAGCCAUGCCGCGUGCAGGAUGAAGGCCUUCGGGUUGUAAACUGCUUUUGUACGGAACGAAAAGACUCUGGUUAAUACCUGGGGUCCAUGACGGUACCGUAAGAAUAAGCACCGGCUAACUACGUGCCAGCAGCCGCGGUAAUACGUAGGGUGCAAGCGUUAAUCGGAAUUACUGGGCGUAAAGCGUGCGCAGGCGGUUAUAUAAGACAGAUGUGAAAUCCCCGGGCUCAACCUGGGAACUGCAUUUGUGACUGUAUAGCUAGAGUACGGC
rnacentral:rRNA from 1 species